CAACAGCACGCGGUGUUCCUAGGUGGUCACCCUCCCAAGUAUUGACCGCGCUUAACUGCGGUGAUCAGACGAGAACCGGUGCUUUCAGCAUGGUACGGCCGU